rnacentral:lncRNA from 1 species
GAAAUGGAAGUUUUAUUCUACCUAAGGAUCCUGUCUGCAGAACGCAUAUGAACUUAGGCAUUUCUUCCUCUGGUGCCCAUGUUCCAUAACUGUUUGAGGAUGGCAGGCGUCUCUGAGGAACUAUGAAGGUGUGGAUGCCUGUGAUAACGUCACCCCCUCAUGCUUCUGUUGGGUGAUGCUGCCAAACCCUGGAUUCUUCUAGCCCCACUGGGUGCGUGGGUAUAUUAGGGAGGGUCUUCUGAGUUACAGCAAA